rnacentral:rRNA from 1 species
CAGUAGCCGCGGUAAUACGUAGGGUCCGAGCGUUGUCCGGAAUUACUGGGCGUAAAGAGCUCGUAGGUGGUUUGUCGCGUUGUUCGUGAAAACUCACAACUCAAUUGUGGGCGUGCGGGCGAUACGGGCAGACUGGAGUACUGCAGGGGAGACUGGAAUUCCUGGUGUAGCGGUGGAAUGCGCAGAUAUCAGGAGGAACACCGGUGGCGAAGGCGGGUCUCUGGGCAGUAACUGACGCUGAGGAGCGAAGGCGUGGGGAGCGAACAGGAUUAGAUACCCCAGUAGUCCCUGUCUCUUAUAC